AGAGUUUGAUCCUGGCUCAGGACGAACGCUGGCGGCGUGCUUAACACAUGCAAGUCGAGCGAUGAAGCUUCCUUCGGGAAGUGAAUUAGCGGCGGACGGGUGAGUAACACGUGGGUAACCUGCCUCAAAGUGGGGGAUAGCCUUCCGAAAGGAAGAUUAAUACCGCAUAAUAUAAGAGAAUCGCAUGAUUUUCUUAUCAAAGAUUUAUUGCUUUGAGAUGGACCCGCGGCGCAUUAGCUAGUUGGUAAGGUAACGGCUUACCAAGGCAACGAUGCGUAGCCGACCUGAGAGGGUGAUCGGCCACAUUGGAACUGAGACACGGUCCAGACUCCUACGGGAGGCAGCAGUGGGGAAUAUUGCGCAAUGGGGGAAACCCUGACGCAGCAACGCCGCGUGGGUGAUGAAGGUCUUCGGAUUGUAAAGCCCUGUUUUCUAGGACGAUAAUGACGGUACUAGAGGAGGAAGCCACGGCUAACUACGUGCCAGCAGCCGCGGUAAUACGUAGGUGGCGAGCGUUGUCCGGAUUUACUGGGCGUAAAGGGUGCGUAGGCGGAUGUUUAAGUGGGAUGUGAAAUCCCCGGGCUUAACCUGGGGGCUGCAUUCCAAACUGGAUAUCUAGAGUGCAGGAGAGGAAAGCGGAAUUCCUAGUGUAGCGGUGAAAUGCGUAGAGAUUAGGAAGAACACCAGUGGCGAAGGCGGCUUUCUGGACUGUAACUGACGCUGAGGCACGAAAGCGUGGGUAGCAAACAGGAUUAGAUACCCUGGUAGUCCACGCCGUAAACGAUGGAUACUAGGUGUAGGGGGUAUCAACUCCCCCUGUGCCGCAGUUAACACAAUAAGUAUCCCGCCUGGGGAGUACGGUCGCAAGAUUAAAACUCAAAGGAAUUGACGGGGGCCCGCACAAGCAGCGGAGCAUGUGGUUUAAUUCGAAGCAACGCGAAGAACCUUACCUGGACUUGACAUCCCUUGCAUAGCCUAGAGAUAGGUGAAGCCCUUCGGGGCAAGGAGACAGGUGGUGCAUGGUUGUCGUCAGCUCGUGUCGUGAGAUGUUAGGUUAAGUCCUGCAACGAGCGCAACCCUUGUUAUUAGUUGCUACCAUUAAGUUGAGCACUCUAAUGAGACUGCCUGGGUAACCAGGAGGAAGGUGGGGAUGACGUCAAAUCAUCAUGCCCCUUAUGUCCAGGGCUACACACGUGCUACAAUGGUAGGUACAAUAAGACGCAAGACCGUGAGGUGGAGCAAAACUUAUAAAACCUAUCUCAGUUCGGAUUGUAGGCUGCAACUCGCCUACAUGAAGCUGGAGUUGCUAGUAAUCGCGAAUCAGAAUGUCGCGGUGAAUACGUUCCCGGGCCUUGUACACACCGCCCGUCACACCAUGAGAGCUGGUAACACCCGAAGUCCGUGAGGUAACCGUAAGGAGCCAGCGGCCGAAGGUGGGAUUAGUGAUUGGGGUGAAGUCGUAACAAGGUAGCCGUAGGAGAACCUGCGGCUGGAUCACCU
rnacentral:rRNA from 1 species